GUAGUCUCGCACAGAUGCAUAUCAAUAAGCGGAGGAAAAGAAACUAACAAGGAUUCCCUCAGUAACGGUGAGUGAAGCGGGAAGAGCUCAAAUUUGAAAUCUUCAAGGUUUUACCUUGACGAAUUGUAGUUUAAAGAAGUGUUUUCUGUUGAAGUUUUGGUAAAAGUUCUUUGGAAUAGGACAUCAUAGAGGGUGAGAAUCCCGUAUUUGACCAUUAUUUUCAGCUGUGUGAUACACUUUCAAAGAGUCGGAUUGUUUGGGAAUGCAGUCCCAAAAUGGGUAGGUAAAUUUCUUCUAAGGCUAAAUAUUGGCGAGAGACCGAUAGCGAACAAGUACCGUGAGGGAAAGAUGAAAAGAACUUUGAAAAGAGAGUUAAAUAGUACGUGAAAUUGUCAAAAGGGAAGCGUUUAACACCAGUGUUGUUUUCUGAAAAUCAACCUCUGUUAGCUUUAUGCAUGUUUAUUUAGACCUAAUCAGCUAUCUUGCAUGUUCUAUUGUUUGCAGUGGUGCACUUUUCAGUUUACAGGUCAACAUCAGUUUUUUUUACCGUAAAAAAGUUAAAGAAAGGUAGCUCAUGGCUCCGGUCGUGAGUGUUAUAGUCUUUUUCCUAUGCGGUAGGAGAGACUGAGGUCUGCAGUGUAGGCUAUUUGGCUAGAUACUCAGGUGCUAUGUGAUACCAUUUCAUAAACAACUUGUUGAUUAUGUUUUGUCUAUUGCAUACUCGCUUGUACUAUCAUACCUACGCUUAGGAUGUUGAAGAUGUAGCACAUCAU
rnacentral:rRNA from 1 species